rnacentral:rRNA from 1 species
GACGUAGGGGGCGAGCGUUGUCCGGAUUUAUUGGGCGUAAAGCGCACGUAGGCGGCUUCAAAAGUCGGAUGUGAAAUCCCGUGGCUCAACCAUGGACGUGCAUUCGAAACUGCGAAGCUUGAGUAUGGAAGAGGGUCGCGGAAUUCCCGGUGUAGAGGUGAAAUUCGUAGAUAUCGGGAGGAACACCAGUGGCGAAGGCGGCGACCUGGGCCAAUACUGACGCUGAGGUGCGAAAGCGUGGGGAGCAAACAGG